UUGGAGACUUUUUAGCAAAUAACUCCUAACGAGUUUCAUUUUAAUACUUUUUAAUAGCUGUUGCGUAUAUUAUUUCCUCACAUUUAUAAUUCAGUGUUUAGAGAAGAUUUAUAUACCAGCUUUGGGAUCUUAUAUGUAAAUGCCUAAUAUUGAGUAUGCCAUCAAAUUUUUCAUCUAGACAGGGUACGGAAGAGAAAGGUUGAUGAAAGAAACUAAUACAAAAAAGGUUCUUCAUUGGAAUGAUGAUUAAUUAUCUACUUGCUAUGAUGGUGAUUCUGAUGAUAUGGAAUGGUGACAAUUCCAAAUUUUCAAACAUGGAAAAUGAUGGGUUUCUCGAGUGAAGUCGUCUAGGUACUAUCAACAUUGCUAUUGGAUCAGUUCUUCUGGUAGGCACAUAACUACGAUUUUAUAAAUGAAUGAUAUCAAAUUUUCUGGAUCAGUUGAAGGCAUCUUUUGCGUUUAAAGCUGACGUAUUUCUUGUUUGUUGCAAUUAAUAGCAUUAAAAGAAGUCUGCUCGGGUUCUCUAUAUCAUUAAUUUCUCCUACAUCUUGGGUUAUGAAGAGGCAGGCUUAAAGCAUUUAUAAUGGUUCUUCUUCUGUUUGCACAUUUUAGAUCUGUAAAACUGCAGUCCUAUUUGUUCAAAGUUCUUGAAAGAUGUGAUUACAAAAUCCAUCACCUCAAUGAUUCAAUGCCAGUUGAAGUUCCACUGCUCUGGCAUAGUGUCUUUUAGGAUGUAUGGCUAAAUUGAGUAAUCUGAUUUGUUAUGUUUGUUUCCCUGAUGUUUAAUCGUUUUAUGGUUUUUUCCCCUUCUUCAA